CAGGCGCCACCCAGGGAUCAUUUCUAUAGUUCGGCUCUAGAGAAGUCUAUCUGAAUGUGUAGAGCACCAGAAACCACGAGGAGGAAGCGCAGUGUUCUCUCCUGAGCCUGAAGCUGGCUCCUGGUGUUGCUUCACUGCAAUUGCCACUUGCCAUUGAUGAUCAUUCUUCUUCUCGCCCUUUGGGGGAGUAAGAGGGAGAGAACGCAGUCUGAGUGG
ensembl:snoRNA U3 Small nucleolar RNA U3